rnacentral:rRNA from 1 species
UACGAAGGGGGCUAGCGUUGCUCGGAAUCACUGGGCGUAAAGCGCACGUAGGCGGACUCUUAAGUCGGUGGUGAAAUCCUGGAGCUCAACUCCAGAACUGCCUUCGAUACUGGCGAUCUAGAGUCCGGGAGAGGUGAGUGGAACUGCGAGUGUAGAGGUGAAAUUCGUAGAUAUUCGCAAGAACACCAGUGGCGAAGGCGGCUCACUGGCCCGGUACUGACGCUGAGGUGCGAAAGCGUGGGGAGCAAACAGG